CAAUGAGGGGCGUGGUCUCUCUGAGGGGUGGCACUGAGUGUCAUGAAUAUCUCAUGAAUAAAUAAACCACGAAGCAUACCAGACUUCAGAAAAGGAAAACCACAGAAGGCAAAAUGGAAGAACUGUACACAUCUACGCGCUAUUAAAAACCAAGAUGAAUCUGGAGUCUAACAAAGAGACUCUAGUAACAAGCCCUAAAGAAACAAAAACUGGCAUUAAUAAUUUAUUCUACAAUGCUAUUAUCAAUAUGUAUUUAUUUUUAGGCUAAUUCAGCUGAAAAGCUUGCAUGACCACAGUCAUGCACAACUCAGUAAACUAUCCAUCCUCUGGUGAGGAUUCCCAAAGUCUGUUAGAAGAAUGAUUGUUUUUAAGACAUGUUACUGAUGUUUAUAGAUACAAAAAGUGGCAAAAUAAUUAUCUUAAUUAGCCAAAUGGUGAAGAUAAAGCUACCACACUGAUGACAACCCAGUGUAACACCUACUCUUGACAGUAGAACAACAUCCUUUGUAUCACAGCUGUGAUAUUGCUUAAUAAAACAAUGCAGUUUAUUCCAUGGAAGAAACAAAAUGUACCUGUAUUUAUAGAAGUAAAAAAGCCUAAUGACUCCGUGGUGAGAGAAAAGACUUCGGCAAUUUUAGUGGAAAUUCUAUGAGACCCUAACACACCUGAAAACACUGAGAAGGGAUCUCAAGAUGUAGUUACAACUUCUAAGGUGUGCUUCUUGUUACUCAUAGAUUUGUGGCAGACUGGACUACCUAAUGUUUUGACACUCUGCUUUAAAAUAGCUAAAAAAAAUUUAAAAGUA